CCUACGGGGGGCUGCAGUGGGGAAUAUUGCACAAUGGGGGGAACCCUGAUGCAGCGACGCCGCGUGAGUGAAGAAGUAUUUCGGGAUGUAAAGCUCUAUCAGCAGGGAAGAAGAUGACGGUACCUGACUAAGAAGCCCCGGCUAACUACGUGCCAGCAGCCGCGGUAAUCCGUAGGGGGCAAGCGUUAUCCGGAUUUACUGGGUGUAAAGGGAGCGUAGACGGCAGGGGAAGUCUGGAGUGAAAGCCCGGGGCCCCACCCCGGGACUGCUUUGGAAACUGCCAUGCUAGAGUGCUGGAGAGGUAAGCGGACUUCCUAGUGUAGCGGUGACAUGCGUCGAUAUUAGGCGGCACCCCAGUGGCGAAGGCGGCUUACUGGACAGUAACUGACGUUGCGGCUCGAACGCGUGGGGAGCAAACAGGAUUAGAUACCCGAGUAGUC
rnacentral:rRNA from 1 species